UACGUAGGGGGCAAGCGUUGUCCGGAAUUAUUGGGCGUAAAGAGCGUGUAGGCGGUCCGGUAAGUCGGCUGUGAAAGCCCAGGGCUCAACCCUGGGAUGCCGGUCGAUACUGCCGGACUAGAGUUCGGAAGAGGCGAGUGGAAUUCCCGGUGUAGCGGUGAAAUGCGCAGAUAUCGGGAGGAACACCUAUGGCGAAGGCAGCUCGCUGGGACGUUACUGACGCUGAGAACGCGAAAGCGUGGGGAGGCAAACAGG
rnacentral:rRNA from 1 species